rnacentral:rRNA from 1 species
GACGAACGCUGGCGGCGUGCCUAAUACAUGCAAGUAGAACGCUGAAGGAGGAGCUUGCUUCUCUGGAUGAGUUGCGAACGGGUGAGUAACGCGUAGGUAACCUGCCUGGUAGCGGGGGAUAACUAUUGGAAACGAUAGCUAAUACCGCAUAAGAGUAGAUGUUGCAUGACAUUUGCUUAAAAGGUGCAAUUGCAUCACUACCAGAUGGACCUGCGUUGUAUUAGCUAGUUGGUGGGGUAACGGCUCACCAAGGCGACGAUACAUAGCCGACCGGAGAGGGUGGUCGGCCACACUGGGACUGAGACACGGCCCAGACUCCUAGGGGAGGCAGCAGUAGGGAAUCGUCGGCAAUGGACGGAAGUCUGACCGAGCAACGCCGCGUGAGUGAAGAAGGUUUUCGGAUCGUAAAGCUCGGUUGUAAGAGAAGAACGAGUGUGAGAGUGGAAAGUUCACACUGUGACGGUAUCUUACCAGAAAGGGACGGCUAACUACGUG